rnacentral:rRNA from 1 species
UGCUGGAGGUAUCAGAAGUGCGAAUGCUGACAUAAGUAACGAUAAAGCGGGUGAAAAGCCCGCUCGCCGGAAGACCAAGGGUUCCUGUCCAACGUUAAUCGGGGCAGGGUGAGUCGACCCCUAAGGCGAGGCCGAAAGGCGUAGUCGAUGGGAAACAGGUUAAUAUUCCUGUACUUGGUGUUACUGCGAAGGGGGGACGGAGAAGGCUAUGUUAGCCGGGCGACGGUUGUCCCGGUUUAAGCAUGUAGGCUGGUUAUCCAGGCAAAUCCGGAUAAUCAAGGCUGAGGUGUGAUGACGAGGCACUACGGUGCUGAAGUAACAAAUGCCCUGCUUCCAGGAAAAGCCUCUAAGCAUCAGGUAACAUCAAAUCGUACCCCAAACCGACACAGGUGGUCAGGUAGAGAAUACCAAGGCGCUUGAGAGAACUCGGGUGAAGGAACUAGGCAAAAUGGUGCCGUAACUUCGGGAGAAGGCACGCUGGUGUGUAGGUGAAGUCCCUGCGGAUGGAGCUGAGACCAGUCGAAGAUACCAGCUGGCUGCAACUGUUUAUUAAAAACACAGCACUGUGCAAACACGAAAGUGGACGUAUACGGUGUGACGCCUGCCCGGUGCCGGAAGGUUAAUUGAUGGGGUUAUCCGUAAGGAGAAGCUCUUGAUCGAAGCCCCGGUAAACGGCGGCCGUAACUAUAACGGUCCUAAGGUAGCGAAAUUCCUUGUCGGGUAAGUUCCGACCUGCACGAAUGGCGUAAUGAUGGCCAGGCUGUCUCCACCCGAGACUCAGUGAAAUUGAACUCGCUGUGAAGAUGCAGUGUACCCGCGGCAAGACGGAAAGACCCCGUGAACCUUUACUAUAGCUUGACACUGAACAUUGAGCCUUGAUGUGUAGGAUAGGUGGGAGGCUUUGAAGCGUGGACGCCAGUCUGCGUGGAGCCAACCUUGAAAUACCACCCUUUAAUGUUUGAUGUUCUAACGUUGGCCCCUNACCGGGGUUGCGGACAGUGUCUGGUGGGUAGUUUGACUGGGGCGGUCUCCUCCCAAAGCGUAACGGAGGAGCACGAAGGUUAGCUAAUCCUGGUCGGACAUCAGGAGGUUAGUGCAAUGGCAUAAGCUAGCUUGACUGCGAGCGUGACGGCGCGAGCAGGUGCGAAAGCAGGUCAUAGUGAUCCGGUGGUUCUGAAUGGAAGGGCCAUCGCUCAACGGAUAAAAGGUACUCCGGGGAUAACAGGCUGAUACCGCCCAAGAGUUCAUAUCGACGGCGGUGUUUGGCACCUCGAUGUCGGCUCAUCACAUCCUGGGGCUGAAGUAGGUCCCAAGGGUAUGGCUGUUCGCCAUUUAAAGUGGUACGCGAGCUGGGUUUAGAACGUCGUGAGACAGUUCGGUCCCUAUCUGCCGUGGGCGCUGGAGAAUUGAGGGGGGCUGCUCCUAGUACGAGAGGACCGGAGUGGACGCAUCACUGGUGUUCGGGUUGUCAUGCCAAUGGCACUGCCCGGUAGCUAAAUGCGGAAGAGAUAAGUGCUGAAAGCAUCUAAGCACGAAACUUGCCCCGAGAUGAGUUCUCCCUGAGACUUUAAGUCUCCUGAAGGAACGUUAAAGACGAUGACGUUGAUAGGCCGGGUGUGUAAGCGCAGCGAUGCGUUGAGCUAACCGGUACUAAUGAACCGUGAGGCUUAACCUU